UUUAAUAUUUUUAAUACAAUUUUUAAUAAAUAUUUUGGAAAGUUCAACAUAUUUAACAAAUUAUUCAUUAACAUAUCGUGGUGUUACAUUUAGUAUAACAUAUAAAUUAUAUAUAUUAGAUGAUGCACAACAUGAAGAUUACCCAGAUCAAUGUUAUCAUGAGCAUACUAGACAUCCAUGGUCUGUUAAUGUUUAUUAUCGAUGGAAAGGUGAAUGUAAAUCGUAUUAUUGUUCUAGACCUGGAACAGUUGUUGUAAGAGAUUGUGGAAUUGUUUAUGCACCAGAAUCAUGUAAAAUUAUUGGUCAAGAUUUACAAAAACAUCAACCAUAUUGUUGUCCAAUAUAUGAAUGUUCAAGUUCAAGUGGUGAAUUAUUUACAUAUAAUCCAUUGGCACCAAGUGAAAAUGAUGAUGUUACAAUUAUAGUUAAUGAUAUACCAACACAAAAAGUUAAAAAAUAAU